rnacentral:tRNA from 1 species
GCCGGCUUAGCUCAAUUGGUAGAGCAACUGACUUGUAAUCAGAGGGUCGAAGGUUCAAGUCCUCUAGCCGGCAUCA